rnacentral:tRNA from 1 species
CCACUGGUAGCUCAGAGGUAGAGCAACCCGCAAGGGUCUGUCACAGGUUCGACUCCUGUCCAUUCU